rnacentral:rRNA from 1 species
GAUGAACGCUAGCGGCAGGCUUAACACAUGCAAGUCGAACGGUAAGUUUCUAGCAAUAGGAACCUAGGGUGGCGCACGGGUGAGUAACGCGUAUGCAACCUACCUUUAACUGGGGGAUAGCCCUGAGAAAUCGGGAUUAAUACCGCAUAAUACAUUUUGAAUGCAUAUUUUGAAUAUUAAAACUUUGGUGGUUAAAGAUGGGCAUGCGUGUCAUUAGCUAGUUGGUGAGGUAACGGCUCACCAAGGCGACGAUGACUAGGGGGUCUGAGAGGAUGAUCCCCCACACUGGUACUGAGACACGGACCAGACUCCUACGGGAGGCAGCAGUGAGGAAUAUUGGUCAAUGGGCGCAAGCCUGAACCAGCCAUGCCGCGUGAAGGACGAAGGCCCUAUGGGUUGUAAACUUCUUUUGUAUAGGAAGAAACCCUUGAACGUGUUCGAGGUUGACGGUACUGUACGAAUAAGGAUCGGCUAACUCCGUGCCAGCAGCCGCGGUAAUACGGAGGAUCCAAGCGUUAUCCGGAUUUAUUGGGUUUAAAGGGUGCGCAGGCGGACUUAUAAGUCAGUGGUGAAAGCCCACAGCUUAACUGUGGAACUGCCAUUGAUACUGUAGGUCUUGAGUGCAGUUGGAGUAGGCGGAAUGUGACGUGUAGCGGUGAAAUGCUUAGAGAUGUCACAGAACACCAAUCGCGAAGGCAGCUUACUAAACUGUAACUGACGCUCAGGCACGAAAGCGUGGGGAUCAAACAGGAUUAGAUACCCUGGUAGUCCACGCAGUAAACGAUGAUAACUCGAUGUAUGCCUAUAUGGUAUGUGUCCAAGCGAAAGCGUUAAGUUAUCCACCUGGGGAGUACGACCGCAAGGUUGAAACUCAAAGGAAUUGACGGGGGCCCGCACAAGCGGAGGAGCAUGUGGUUUAAUUCGAUGAUACGCGAGGAACCUUACCUGGGUUUAAAUGUAUAGUGACUUUCUAGGAAACUAGAUUUCCCUUCGGGGCAUUAUGCAAGGUGCUGCAUGGCUGUCGUCAGCUCGUGCCGUGAGGUGUCGGAUUAAGUUCCAUAACGAGCGCAACCCUUAUCUUUAGUUGCCAACAGGUUAAGCUGGGGACUCUAAAGAAACUGCCGGCGCAAGCCGUGAGGAAGGUGGGGAUGACGUCAAGUCAGCACGGCCCUUAUGUCCAGGGCUACACACGUGCUACAAUGGCCAAUACAAUGGGUCGCUACUUGGUGACAAGAUGCAAAUCUCAAAAGUUGGUCUCAGUUCGGAUUGAAGUCUGCAAUUCGACUUCAUGAAGGUGGAUUCGCUAGUAAUCGUAUAUCAGCAAUGAUACGGUGAAUACGUUCCCGGGCCU